GAUGAACGCUGGCGGCGUGCCUAAUACAUGCAAGUCGAGCGAACGGACGAGAAGCUUGCUUCUCUGAUGUUAGCGGCGGACGGGUGAGUAACACGUGGAUAACCUACCUAUAAGACUGGGAUAACUUCGGGAAACCGGAGCUAAUACCGGAUAAUAUUUUGAACCGCAUGGUUCAAAAGUGAAAGACGGUCUUGCUGUCACUUAUAGAUGGAUCCGCGUUGCAUUAGCUAGUUGGUAAGGUAACGGCUUACCAAGGCAACGAUGCAUAGCCGACCUGAGAGGGUGAUCGGCCACACUGGAACUGAGACACGGUCCAGACUCCUACGGGAGGCAGCAGUAGGGAAUCUUCCGCAAUGGGCGAAAGCCUGACGGAGCAACGCCGCGUGAGUGAUGAAGGUCUUCGGAUCGUAAAACUCUGUUAUUAGGGAAGAACAUAUGUGUAAGUAACUGUGCACAUCUUGACGGUACCUAAGCAGAAAGCCACGGCUAACUACGU
rnacentral:rRNA from 1 species